rnacentral:rRNA from 1 species
GAUGAACGCUGGCGGCGUGCCUAAUACAUGCAAGUCGAGCGAACGGACGAGAAGCUUGCUUUUCUGAUGUUAGCGGCGGACGGGUGAGUAACACGUGGAUAACCUACCUAUAAGACUGGGAUAACUUCGGGAAACCGGAGCUAAUACCGGAUAAUAUUUUGAACCGCAUGGUUCAUAAGUGAAAGACGGUCUUGCUGUCACUUAUAGAUGGAUCCGCGCUGCAUUAGCUAGUUGGUAAGGUAACGGCUUACCAAGGCAACGAUGCAUAGCCGACCUGAGAGGGUGAUCGGCCACACUGGAACUGAGACACGGUCCAGACUCCUACGGGAGGAAGCAGUAGGGAAUCUUCCGCAAUGGGCGAAAGCCUGACGGAGCAACGCCGCGUGAGUGAUGAAGGUCUUCGGAUCGUAAAACUCUGUUAUUAGGGAAGAACAUAUGUGUAAGUAACUGUGCACAUCUUGACGGUACCUAAUCAGAAAGCCACGGCUAACUACGUG